AAAUAGAAAAAGAAAAAGAAGAUGUGUAUGAUAAACUUUACUAAUUACUGUAUGUUUUUUUGGUUUAAUUUUCAAAUUUUCUCAUUUAUUGAUUAAUAAAGAUUACAUAGUCCUUGCAAAUAUGGGUCAGCCCACUACCGAAAUCUGGAAAUUAAAACAAAAAGAAUGACCCGGCCCACUCCACUUGGGAUUAUUACAUAUAGCUUAAGUUUUGGGUUUUCUAAUCCGAUUCCACCCUUCCCACUCCUCUUAUCUGGUUUAGGAUGUCACCGCCGGUCAUCUUCAAUGCUCAAUUCAUCCCCCUUCAACUCUGGGUUAUUAACACCUUGCCAUUUCAGCUUCAUCUCUGUGUAUUUAUCAGCUUAUAGACAUGCAGAUGGGAUGAAGCUUGUGGGAUGCUUGGACCCGCUAGUAUUCAACCAAUAACCCGACUCUAGGUUAUGCAAAACCAUGCCGUAGAGACCCUUUUCUGUUGCUCUGAAUCCACUAUGUAGGCUUCUGUAGAAUAGGCUAAUUGACUUAACCUUAACACUGAUUUUAUAGCCUUUCAUGACUUGUAAUUAUACUGUAUGUUCAGCUCAAUUCAGUAGCCUAGUCACCCUCUUACCUCUGCGGUGGUGACAAUCUUAAAUAUGGUAAUUAUGUUUUAUGAUUGUUAAUGAUUUUCUUCCCUGUUGUUUGAAUCUGAUGGAAAUGUGUGAAUGUGAA